rnacentral:misc_RNA from 1 species
AUCCCAAAUUUUUUGGAUAAAGGUGUAGUUGAGUUAAGUUGAGUUGAGUAUUUAUCUUUUAGUUCUGGCCUCCCAGAUGAGUUGCAUACAGAGACUGAUGGAUCUUCAUUAUUUUUAUGUAUGGGUUCUGGGUAGGUUUUUGGGGUGGUAGUGGGGUUAUACAGUCAUAUAUACUUCCAAUUUUGUUCUGGGAUUUUAUUUUAUUUGAUUGGUCCUGAUAAUAGCUGGCUAAACCAAUGUAUGCAAACAUUGGAUGUCCAUCGCAAGCCACGCUUCCAGGUUUUUUUGGCUGAAAAUAACUGGACCCUUUCAUCUGAGUGGAAGGAUCCGAGUUGUACGAAAAAUUACAUGGUUAAUAAUUUUU